GUUAGAGAGCCUAGGGCAGGCCUGUGGAUCAGCCGAGUGGAUCUGAGUCCCAGAAAUAAUGACGUCAAGACCGUGACCUAAAGUCUGUGAAGUCAUCAGCUGAAGUAAGCCACCCUGCCUUUAAGUUGAUGUUGUUAGGUACGCUGUGAUGGAAAGCAAACGAAACGUGAACAUAGUUUCGCCAGACUGUGAUGGGUGAUGUGCACUGUGGCACUGGACUGUGCUAAUAAGUAAAUAGCAAGUUUGUUUCAUAAGCUUAGAAACAUCUGUUCUGGGCGGGGCAUGAGAUCGCUGAAAGAUGGAGGAAAGGAGAAACAGCAGUAACAAACCUCCAAACCAACAGGCCCAUCCCCCAGCCAGGGACUGGAGAAGAGAGAGGGUGAUGGGAGAGAAACAGGAAAGCAAGCAGCCUGUCGUUGCUGCUGUGGUGGUGCACAGCUGUAAUCCCAGCACCUGAGGGAUGAAGGCUGGAGGACCAGGUCAAGGCCGUUAAGGGGGUUCUAGGCUAGCCUGGAUUACAAAACAUUCUGUCGCAAAACUCAAGCUACCGACAAACAUGAGAUGGAUUAAAACAAAACAAUUUAAACCAGAGAUAAACUAGAAGAUGUAACUGAGAUACAGACCGUAGGCAUUAAAAAGGUGGGAAGGCGGUCCUAGCACCAGAGACAAUGCGAGAAGACUGCCAGACAAAGAGAGAACUUUGCAUUUUUACACAGUGAAUGCAUGGGACAGCCCCUCUGCCCUUGUGCACAGUUUCAUUUUCCUAGGUUUCAGUCUCGUGUAGUCAUAGUCUAAAAAUGAAUGGAAAAUGACAGAUAAUGACCCUUUCUAAGUUUAGAGUUGUGUGUGUCAUGAAACCGUUCACUCUGUCCCUCUGUCUCACUGAGGACAUCCCCCCUGUCCCCUGUGGUGUGCAGUGCAUCCAGGCCAUAUACACUGCCCUCCUGUUCAUCACUCUGUACCUUAGUGUUCCAGAGCGGCAAGGUACCGAUACAGAAGAGUCACCAGGGCAAAGCCCGCGGAUUUAACUCUGAUGCUAUGUGGCAAUAACGUGUAUUUAGCUUUUGGCCCUAGUUGUGGUCGAGGCAUCCACUGGAGGUCUGGGAAUGUGGUUCUGCAGGAGGUUCAGAAUGUAUAAUACGAUUUCACAUGCGCUUUCUCAUAGGCUCCAUAUAAGAGUCCAGAUGGAUGGUUUCUUAUUAUCCUUUAUGUAUGGAAGAAGAAAGUAUAAUGAAAAUGGCUCGGUGACAGGCAAAGUGGUACAUUUAUUGGUAGAGAUUCUCAUAAUUAGAAUACUUUAUAUUAGAUUGAAAAUUUGAAACCAUGCAACACUCAGCCAUUCCAGGGAAAAUUAAUAAUGAUGUUUUUAGACAUCUUUAAUUUCUUUCACAUAUGGACUAAACUGAUGAGAUUGGACUUCCAUAUUUCCAAGAAGACGAAACAGAAUGGCAAACUCUGAUGACACUCUGAAAUUGGUCAUAGAUUCUUCAGUUCCUAGAAAAGCUGCUGGCUGUUCCAAACUUAUUUUCCCCAGCCUAAGAGAAAUCAGAAAAAUAUAUCUCUCCCCAAACAACAAAACUCCAAUAAAAAAACCAACCUCCCCCAAAAAAAUCUCCAAACCCCUUCCUUCCCCAAGAAUAAAACAAAAAAAACGAAACAAAACAAUAAAAACCAAACGAAGUUUAUAAUCUAAUUCAAAGUGCGGUGUCCUUUUAUUCUUUU
rnacentral:lncRNA from 1 species